rnacentral:rRNA from 1 species
AGUGAACGCUGGCGGUAGGCCUAACACAUGCAAGUCGAACGGCAGCACAGUAAGAGCUUGCUCUUACGGGUGGCGAGUGGCGGACGGGUGAGGAAUACAUCGGAAUCUACUUUUUCGUGGGGGAUAACGUAGGUAAACUUACGCUAAUACCGCAUACGACCUACGGGUGAAAGCAGGGGAUCUUCGGACCUUUCGCGAUUGAAUGAGCCGAUGUCGGAUUAGCUAGUUGGCGGGGUAAAGGCCCACCAAGGCGACGAUCCGUAGCUGGUCUGAGAGGAUGAUCAGCCACACUGGAACUGAGACACGGUCCAGACUCCUACGGGAGGCAGCAGUGGGGAAUAUUGGACAAUGGGCGCAAGACUGAUCCAGCCAUACCGCGUGGGUGAAGAAGGCCUUCGGGUUGUAAAGCCCUUUUGUUGGGAAAGAAAAGCAGCAGGUUAAUACCCCGCUGUUCUGACGGAACCCAAAGAAUAAGCACCGGCUAACUUCGU